GAGUUUGAUCGUGGCUCAGAUUGAACGCUGGCGGCAUGCCUUACACAUGCAAGUCGAACGGCAGCAUGAUCUAGCUUGCUAGAUUGAUGGCGAGUGGCGAACGGGUGAGUAAUACAUCGGAACGUGCCCUGUAGUGGGGGAUAACUAGUCGAAAGAUUAGCUAAUACCGCAUACGACCUGAGGGUGAAAGUGGGGGACCGCAAGGCCUCAUGCUAUAGGAGCGGCCGAUGUCUGAUUAGCUAGUUGGUGGGGUAAAGGCCCACCAAGGCGACGAUCAGUAGCUGGUCUGAGAGGACGAUCAGCCACACUGGGACUGAGACACGGCCCAGACUCCUACGGGAGGCAGCAGUGGGGAAUUUUGGACAAUGGGCGAAAGCCUGAUCCAGCAACGCCGCGUGUGUGAAGAAGGCCCUCGGGUUGUAAAGCACUUUUGUCCGGAAAGAAAUGGCUCUGGUUAAUACCUGGGGUCGAUGACGGUACCGGAAGAAUAAGGACCGGCUAACUACGUGCCAC
rnacentral:rRNA from 1 species